UACAGAGGGUGCGAGCGUUACUCGGAAUUACUGGGCGUAAAGCGCACGUAGGCGGCUUUGUAAGUUAGAGGUGAAAGCCCAGGGCUCAACCCUGGAAUUGCCUUUAAGACUGCAUCGCUUGAACAUCGGAGAGGUAAGUGGAAUUCCGAGUGUAGAGGUGAAAUUCGUAGAUAUUCGGAAGAACACCAGUGGCGAAGGCGACUUACUGGACGAUUGUUGACGCUGAGGUGCGAAAGCGUGGGGAGCAAACAGG
rnacentral:rRNA from 1 species